GGGAAGGUAGCUCAGUGGUAGAGUGCUUGCCUUGCAUGCAUGAGGCCCUAGGUUCGAUUCCUCAGUACCA
rnacentral:tRNA from 1 species